GCUGAUCUAUUUUUUAAAUUGAAUAUUUAUUUUUAUUCAAAUAUAUUGAAAUUAAUAUGGAAACAAAAGUUCAUAAAUAUUAGUUUGAAAAGCCAUGUCAGAAGAGUAGGAUUAAAGACAAAGUAUUAAGAGUAAUUGGGCUGUUCCUGAACAAUAUUGAAUAUAAAUAUUCAAAAAUAUGAUUGAUAACUGCAUAUCCUACUAAGUAGAUCAAUACCAAAAUCCCAUUAGAGAAAUAAGUUAAAAAUAUGUUUUACUUGUAUAAUUUUCUUG